GCAGCGCCUCUGCAACCCAAACUACUAACAGCCCCACCAUGGGAGGAGAGCAGAAGUGGCGCGCUGGGAGCUGCCCAGCUUCCUGCUCUGUGUGCGGAGAUCACUUUCGGUUUUCUUUUCUGGAAAUCUGACGCGACGUGACCAGGGCACUAGGACUUCCAGACUGGACACAGAAGGCGUAUCCCAGCAGGGUCCAGGAUCUCCUUAGAUGAUCAAUUGCCUGGGUGACAGGGCUCAUAACACUGAUUACCAAAUGAGGCACGGAACACUUGAGCUGGUUUACCUUUCUACCAUUAUCAGGAUGUUCACUGUCAGCAAGGCCUUGCAAAAGGCCCUUCUCCAGCACUUCAUAUACACAAAGCUGGACAUUGCCUAUGCCAUCAACAAGCCGUUCCCCUUCUUUGAAGCCCUCCGGGACAACUCCAUCAUCACUGAGAAAAUGUACAAGGAAUCUCUGCAAGCCUGUCAAAAUCUGGUCCCUCUAUCCAAAGUGGUGCACAAUGUUCUCACCAGUCUAGAGCGAACUUUCGACCUAUCGGUGCUAUUGACACUGUUCAGCCACGUCAACCUCUGCGAAUAUCCCAGCCUAGUGACAAUUUACAGACGCUUCAAAAACGUUAUUACAGCCUAUGGAGAGAAUGAAAGAACUGCUCAGGCCCUCCACAAAGCCCCAACUGACCCAGCAGAAGGGUGCUCCUUCCAGGCUCUGCUGUCACUGCCCCCACCCCAACCAUCUCCACCAAGUCAUCUGCCCUCUGCACCAAAAGUCUGUGAGCCCCGAGCAGCCUCACAGAAAAUCACUGAGAUCCUGGAUGAGCAGACCAGCCCUUCUCACCCAGCUGUGCCUCCCCCUGGCUUCAUUCAGGAAGGAAAGACUACUCCAGCUGCCUGCUACAACUUAACAGCUACACCUGAUAAGGAAGAAGACUCGGAAAGGAUGUCCAGCAUGUCCCCUGACACUGUGCAAAAGUCCUCCAAGGAUCCCUGGAGAAAUGACAAAGAUGACUCUUCAGAGAUGCCCCACAGCCCCUCAGGCCCCGUGCCAGUGAUCAAAUACAACUUAACACCCAAGGCUAAAGAGAAAGAAGACUCGGGAGGACAGCCUGUCUCUGUGCAAGCAGUAAAAGAUGAGCCCCCUGCACCAAAUGACCUGGAGAUGCCCCAGGAAGCACCCAGCACACCUGCCAAGAAGAAAGCAAAGAAAAACAAAAGAUGCACCUCGUCAUCUCCCAAAAGAAGACAUCGGAAGAAAAGACCCCCUCAAGGGGUGGCCUCAUCUGGACACGGAGUCCAAGAGAAGCUCAAAGUGGUAGGUGAGAGGACUCUGAAGACCAGGACUUCCUCAACCAGGAACUUGAAGGUGGUGACCAGGACUCAGAAGGCAAGGACUGAAUGUGCUCAGACAUCCAGAUCACGGGAGAUCAGCCAUGGGGCUUCAAAAACAAAUGCAAGAAGCAGGCCUCGGAGGAUGUCCAGCUUACCAUCAAGAACCUCACUCGCUUUCCCUGCCCUCCAGGCCCGGCAAUCUCCCUCCCAUCUUCAGUGCACACUGGUCCAGUUGCUGGAUGUGGGACCAGCCACCGGAGCAUGGGCAACCUAAUAAUAGCCACGGGCACCCCAUCAACUUCCAGCCGCUCCUGCUGAGGCAUGUCGGGGACAAAGCAAAGACUCUCUGGCACAUCUGCAUCCCAGGGCCAGCUCCCUCACACACUGUCACUGAUGCACAGUCUCCUUACCUCUGAACCUCCGCCCCAUCUGUUAAAUGGGCUACCCUUGCCUUCAGCUUGUGAGGAUGAAGGAUGCAAUUCCUGAUGUGCUUGAUCUGCCUGUGACUUCUGCAGCCACCCCUCGCCCUCACCCAGGCCCUUGGGUCCACAGGUUGUGAAGUGUGCAUAUCUUCCCUGGGCAUCCUAUCUUCUCAGGUGUAACCAUUACCUUUGUGUUUCUCCUUGUGUUCUGGAAGUAUCCAGAAGCUGGUCUUGGGGUCGCUAAUUAGGUUUUUAUUUGUCAGCCCACUACUCCCCUUCCCUAUCAGGCUCCCUCCACAGAGGUUCUAUUCUUCAGGAAAUUGUUUUUCUCUUUAAUUGCUUAUUUGCAGGCUCCUGGCUGUUUGCUCACACUAAUGAGGCUCUAAAUCAGCUGCUAUAGCUAGCUCCCUUAGAAUGGGGCCAGCUGAUGCUGAGGGCCACACAGGCCUUCCCUUAGGCAAAGGAGGCUAAGCCAAACUAGGCACCACUGAGAAGUCACCAGCGAACUGCCCUUAGGGGUAGGGUACAUGGCGUUAGAAGUCCUUGGGUCUAAGGGUUCAUCACAUUUGAAGUACAAGGGUACCUACAACAGGUGAAAGUGUGAUGCUUAUGGCCUGACCCUGCAUGUUAGCUUGAUGCUCACAGCACCCUCAAACCCCCCACUGACCCUUCAUCUGCUGUAGGCAUAUAUAUCCAGGACAUCUGUCUGCUUUAGAGCUAUACUUACCACAAGGAAUUAGCAAAGAUGUUUCCAUGGAGAUAGAGAACUGUGGAAGAUCCCCACAUUGUGCUUACCUGCGCCGCCCCUCUCCCCCGGGGGAGGGGAUUAUAAUGGUAAUUCAAUGUUACCUGUAACUCUGCUUCUCUCUCAAAUGAAGACCUGACUGCUUCAAUCUCCCACUCAAAUUGGAUAACACUACUGCAACAUCAGUGGUCCUUGCAGGAAACUGCAGAGCCAAGAUUCUGCCUCUGACCAGGAAAGCCCAAAGAUGACGCUGUGGACCUUCUCUCUCCUACACUUCCUGUGACCUGCGGU